rnacentral:lncRNA from 1 species
AUGGUUGUACUAACCAGCAGCCCGCCACCGGUCCUCCUCCCAUCCAGUCCACCACCAGUCCUCCUCCUCCUCCCAUCCAGUCCACCACCAGUCCUCCUCCUCCUCCCAUCCAGUCCACCACCAGUCCUCCUCCUCCUCCCAUCCAGUCCACCACCAGUCCUCCUCCUCCUCCCCAUCCAGUCCACCACCAGUCCUCCUCCUCCUCCCAUCCAGUCCACCACCAGUCCUCCUCCUCCUCCCAUCCAGUCCACCACCAGUCCUCCUCCUCCUCCCAUCCAGUCCAUCACCAGUCCUCCUCCCAUCCAGUCCACCACCAGUCCUCCUCCUCCUCCCAUCCAGUCCACCACCAGUCCUCCUCCUCCUCCCAUCCAGUCCACCACCAGUCCUCCUCCUCCUCCCAUCCAGUCCACCACCAGUCCUCCUCCUCCUCCCAUCCAGUCCAUCACCAGUCCUCCUCCCAUCCAGUCCAUCACCAGUCCUCCUCCCAUCCAGUCCAUCACCAGUCCUCCUCCCAUCCAGUCCAUCACCAGUCCUCCUCCUCCUCCCAUCCAGUCCAUCACCAGUUGUCCUCCUCCUCCCAUCCAGUCCAUCACCAGUCCUCCUCCUCCUCCCAUCCAGUCCAUCACCAGUCCUCCUCCCAUCCAGUCCAUCACCAGUCCUCCUCCAAUCCAGUCCACCAUCCAGCUCACCACCAGUCCUCCCAUCCUACCCCUCACAGAACCACCUCAGCAGAAACGAAAUAUGUCUGCAAACAAUAAAAAGAAGCAGCAGAAUUCUGCAGCCUCAGACAUGUCUACAAGGAAGAAACUGAGGGGGAAAAAAUCACCCAAAGAAUGUAACCAUGGUAUCCUAGAAGGGGAACCUUACUACCCAGUGAAGAGGGUGAUCCGCUGCAAAAUGCAGAAGGGGAUCCAAAUGAAGUUGGUGGAAUGGGAGCCCUGUUCACUCUGUGGGGAAACUUGGCCGCCACAGUGGGUGACGGAGGAGAACACCACAAAUUAAGG